CCAAAUCCCAGGGCAUUAGUGCCCUGGGAGCGCGUGGAGGACACGGAGGACACCUGUCCCGAGGGGACCCUUUCCUGGCCUGGCAGGCGUUUCACACUCCGCCCGGCGCCAGGGAACACGCACACGAGCCAAGUGCGGGCAGACUGCGCAGAUGCUAUAAAAGAUUCCCAGUAGAGCUCCUUAAAGCUUUCCUGACUGAUCUUCGACUUCAAGGUUACGGCCAAGCAAAUUGCGCCGGGAGCUGAUGUGUUCGAACACUGACAGCUCACCAGAAUCAAACCGGACAGACCUUGGGCACACCUCUUCCACGGGCCGAGAGAUGCCGCGGGCCCUGCGCUCAGAGUCUGAACCCUAAAUGCACUCCUGGGACCCCCCGCGGUGGUCGGAGGCCAGGGAUGGAAAGUGAGGGGCAGCAGAGACGGGUUUCCCCUUGGCCUCCAACGAUUCAAGCUCAGAUGGAAGGGCAAAUCAGCAUUAGAUGAAAAGUGUGAGAUUCUGCUUGUAUGUCUGGAAAGGUCAUUACCAGAGAGGAUGCAGGGCCUGGACCCUCUAGCGCCGGUCUCUGUCUGUGGGCUCCUGGUGUGUUACGUAGAUUCUUGCCUCCUUCCCCCCCUUCACAUCCAUCCCCUGGGACCCGGGCCGCUCAGACCUGCUGGCUCUGCUGAGAAAGCAGACCUGGGAGCGGGUCCUCGGAUGGCGCGCUGGGAGAACCCCCUUCUCCCUUCCACGCCAGGUUUCGAUGGAGAGGUGUCAGCAGUUCCGGAAAACCCCUGCCCCGGGGGACUUCAGACGAGAACAGAAACACGCAGGGACUUUGGACGACGGGACCCGCUGAAGUGGGGCAAACGACUGAGUCAGACACACGCAGCCCACGACUAAGGUUUCUCCACGUCUUAAAGAAACGUGGCCGAGGAGCACGUGAAGAUGAAGACUUCAAGGCAUUGGAGGCAUGCCUGCGUCUGUUCAAGCUCAAGGCGUUCAUGUGAAACCUUUCCGGAAAACGCGCCAGCCCAGGUCCCGGUGUCCUCCGCCUGCUGCGUGCGCAUCCGCCUCUGUGCCCCGCCCCCGCCCCAUGCCCGCGCUGAGUCGCUGAAAACAGCCAGAGUGUGUCUCCUCUGCUCCCACCCACCCCCGUUUUUUCUGCUGCUCUUCGCCCACCAGCGUUCCCUUUUUCUCUCCCGAUCCCAGGAGCAGAUCUGACGCCCUCAUUCCCACUGAGGCGCGAGGGUCUAAGAAGAUGUAUACGGCCCACCUAGGAAUGUUUACAUUUCACCUCAAAGCUGAGCUUGAGCGAAAAGAAUUAAAAUAGAGCCGUGGGAACAGAAUCUGCAACGUCUCCAACUCAUCCCCCCAAGCUCUGUUGUCUGUGCCUCAAAAUCAGACUCCGCCUGCACCUCUCCAAUGAUCUUAGGGAUUUCUCCUCCGAAGUCUUUUCCCCGGUCAGUUCCUCCUUCAUGAGCUCCUCUCAGAAGCCCAGUCCUUAUUCUCACCCACCUGCCUUCUUGGCCACAGCCCCACUCCAAGUUCAGUUGCUCACAGGGCCCAGAAAUGUCUCCGAGGCACCUUCUAAGUCUGUCAAGGACAAGUCGGACGCACGCGCUGAGGCCAAACAGAAAGGCGGGGGAGCACGCGGGGCGCUCAGAGCUGGCCCAGGCCUGAAGGCCGUUUGUAGCUAAUGCGGUGAGCGGCUCCAACCAGAUGAGCCCGCAUGGACGCCGGCAAAGGGCACAAGGCAAGCUCUAUCUCCGCUCAAGCCUGCCGCCUGUCCUGGAACAAAGGAGCCAAGGUUCCUUCAACACAAACACCGCUGGCUCUCUGGUGGGAAAGACAGGCUCUCUGUCAUAUCUGCAAAGCCAGGGCCAGCGGGGGCCAGGACCGAGGACCCGGGCUUUUCAAAGGCUCCCCGGGAAAGCCCACGGUUCGAGUUCAAGUGAUGGCAAAUAAAAAAACCAAAGCAGG